AUCGCGAGAUCAGGAAGGUGGCCGAGUGUGUCGCCGCGGCCAUCAGGCACUUCUCCUUCCUGCCCUUGUAUGAAGAAGGAUGUGUUUGCUUCCCCUUGUGCCAUGAUUGUAAAUUUCCUGAGGCCUCCUCAGCCCUGCAGAACUGGGGUUAUAGCCAUGUGACUGAUCUUCGUCCAAGAAUAUGUAAAGAAAAAGUGUUGAGUUGGCUUUUAGGGCUAGAGCAAUGUAUCUUAGGCUCACUUAAGGAAGCUGUAGAGAUGAGCCCAAGGAGGGAAACCAGAAGAGCCCCCCAGGCUCACCAGUUGUUUGUUGGCUCCCUACAAACAUGUCAUUCAAGUGGCUAAUCUUACAACAGCACAAAUUCAUCUAACCAGAAAGAGAAGAGGAGGCUCCAAAGGCACUUGACUACUGAGCAUCACCCUGGACGUGUACAAGUCUGCGUCCUUAUUGUUUUCUUCAUUGGGCCGAACUUUCUGGUCCUCAUCCAACAGCUCUUCUAUCACGUGUUCGAAAGUGUCAGCCAAUGAUGUCAAGCCUCUUGAACCUGCCUUGGGCCCAUUCACGCUCUCCAGAGUCCCAUGGGUCCGCACACCUGGAGAUACUCUAUUAUAGCAAAGAAGAAAGAUAAUUUCAUUGAGCCAUCCUGUUUUACAGGAAAUUCUGCAAGUGGCAACGUGGGUCCAUUCCGUGUGUGUCACUAGAGCUGGCGCAAGCCCAUGGCCAUGGUGAGGCAGCGUUUCCACUGGAACUAAUCUGAUACCUGCACCAGCUCUUGCAACUGUGCAGUGUUCCCACUGCAAACUACGGAUGGGGUAAAAGACUGCUCACCUCCUAUUUCUCAUCUAAUCUCACACACUCUGUUUGAUGAGGCUAUGGAGAAACAGGUCUUCUCAUACACUAAAGGUGGGAGUACAAACAAUUCAAGCCCUGUGCAGGACAAUUAGGCAAUACCUAUCAAAAUUAUACAUGAUUUUUCCUGCUGACCCAGCAAUUCCACUUCUGGGAAUAAUUGACAGAUAUAGGUGCAUAUGUACAAAAUGAUGGAAAGCUCUCUGGUAUAUAUUAGUAAGUGAUAAAACAAGGUGUAAAAUAGUGUAUAUAUGGCUACUACCUUUUGUUUUAAAAAUGGGGGAAAAUGGUGGAGCUUGCGGUGAGCCGAGAUCGUGCCACUGCACUCCAGCCUGGGCGACAGAGCGAGACUCCGUCUCAAAAAAAAAACAGGGUGGGGUGGGGGGGAAAUAAUAGUACAUACUCAUAUUUACCUGUAUCUAUAUAAAACACACUAUCAAGGAUUCACAAGAAACUAAUACAAAUGAUCACCUUAUAGAUGGUAUGUAUUGGGGGAUACUGAGGUGAGCAGGGUAUAAGUGGGGCAAGACUUUUCAGUGUAAACUUCUUUUAAAUUUUAUUUUGAUUUUUGAAUAAUGUAAAUUAACUGUCAAAUAAUUAAAUUAAAAAUAACCAAUUUAUUAACAA
rnacentral:lncRNA from 10 species